rnacentral:misc_RNA from 1 species
CUUUUCCAAAAAAAAAAAGUUGCCCAAAUGAAAACAAUGCUAUGAGAACACGUUUUGAUUAGUGAAAUAAAAAUUCUGGAGAUGAUCAUCAUCUCACAUCAGAAACAAAAUUACAAGCCAGCGAUGCCCUGACUUGCAUCUUUGAUUUAAUCCCAUAUGUUCCAACAAUCCGUGAUUUACAUUUAACCACCUAACACAUCAUUGAAAUCAGCAGACACCCUUUACUGGGUCCUCCCCUCUUCACAGAUGGAACUCCAUAAAAUUAAACAUUCUCACUUCCAUGGAAGUAACAAGCCCCUUCUUUGGAAUGUCUUAAAUGUAACAACUUUGAUCAAACUGUGAUGGUAACUGCUAUUUUUCAUCCAUUUUCAACGAGUUUAGUCUUCUCAAUCUUUCAUCCAGCUCUGCCAUUACUGCCGGUUCUUGCUUUUUCCUUUGCUUUGAUAUAGUGUUGGUUGUCAUUGAACCUAUUUUAUCAAAUGCCACCGUUAAUAAUUCAUCUGGAUCAAAGAGGUGAUGGGUGGUUUUCUGUAAUACAUUAAUUACAUCACCGACAUGAUGAGUCAGAAGCAGCUCUUCUUCCUUCAUCUUAAAUAUAGCCAAAGCUACAUGAAACAGAACCUUUGCCCCCUCAAAGAAAAGGACAUCCCACACUCGCAGAGUUGUCUCUGAAGGCAAGCUCUUUGAGAAUAGGCAUAAGAACCACUCAGUGGCAACCAGGGAAACAUCGAACUCCAGUUCUUCCAAAUGAGCAGCUAUCCUUGGGCACUUUUUAACAAGCAAAUCUUUGAAAACCCUUUGUUCCACGUGGCAUCCUGACAAGUUAUUUGUGUAGCAAUCAUUAACUAAUACAUUUUCCAGGAGAACAGCAAGCAUCCAAAAAGCAUCUUCCUCUGUUUUCAUCACAAGCAACAGCAGUGCUGCAACAUAAUUUAACCCCUGGCAAUAGCCAACAUCGGAAUCACGGAAAGAAUACCCAACAAGAACACGUCGGAGAGCAGCAUGACCCUCUGGAGUGUCCAACCAUGGGUGACCAGGAAAGGUUCGUGGCAGAUCAUGAUCAAUCUGCCUUGUAGCUGGUGUAACCUUCCCUUCAACAGCCUUGGUCAAAUCAUUAUAAUAGCUGUCAGGCACCGUAGACUUCUUCUUUGCAGCUCCAGAGAGCGAAAACCAAACCUUAGGCCUAAGCACAGCGGGUAUCCCCUUCCUUAUAAGCCUCUUCAAAGUGAUUGCAUUAGCUAAAGUAGACAAUUUAAGAGAGGAUUUCAACGCAAUCCCUUCAGCUAUUGAAGUAACCUGAGGCUGCAAAUACCAAUUUGCACCUUUGCUAGCCUCUAAUGCCCACCAAACCCUCCCUUGUUGUCUCACCUUCUCUCUGACCUCAUUCAAUACAUUAACAUCAUCCACAUUGCCUUCUACAGUGAAUCCGUAAAGGUCUUGGAAUUUGACUGUUAAAUUUGCCCUUCUUGAAUGGAUGCUUGGCCUCAAGACUGGGAUUUGAGACUGGAAUUCUAAGGAAACCUCUCUUUUGGCAUGUGUUUUGUACAUAUCUAGGAUUUCUGCUAAUGGUCCCUUGUGAUAGAUCAAGAGAGGAAGCUAUAGAGAGAAAUGGGAAACAAAAAGAAAGGCUUUUUGUCAAAUAAGAAAAGGCCACAGGCUUGGAAACAUGUGAAAUGGUCAAGCUUUGAAGUCUUAACAGCUUGGAAUUGAGUUAGCCUCAAAUGGGUAUAUAAGUAUUUGAUAAAAGAAGACUCCCAAACAAAAAUUAUCACAAAAAAGAGAAAUAUAUUGCAUAUGAAAAUGCCUAUGAAAGACCCUAUUAAGCCAUUCAUAAAAGCUUUAGAAAUCCAAUUAAGAAGCAACUAGAAUUUAGAAUGAAAAAUUAAUAAUACCAAUAAAGCUUUUACCUUUUCAGGUGGGCUCAUGAAAAAGAAAUGAGACAACAAGGGAGACUCAGAAAACGAAAAAUUUUACUUAAACGUACAAAAAACAAAAUGAAGAGCAAAACCCAGAAAAGAGAGAUCUUCUUGGUAAUCCAUAUACUGAGAGAGAGAGAGCAAGAGAGAGAGAGUAGAAGAAGAGAAGAUAUUGGAACAAAUGGAUGAUAAAGAAAAAAGUCCCUACCUUUGUGGGAGCUUAUAGCUUGAAAAAAAAAUGGAGGACUCGACGGGAAUAUAGGCGGCCUGAGGAGGUCUUCUCUGGUGGAGGACAAAUGAAGGGAUAUGAUAAACUUGAAGGGAUGAAACUGCAGAAGUUUUUCUUUCAGGAGUACUAAUCUAUUAUUUUCUUUUAAAUACUUCCUACAAAUAAUAUAAUUUUUUAGAACGUUAUGGAAUUAAAC